rnacentral:rRNA from 1 species
AUUGAACGCUGGCGGCAUGCCUAACACAUGCAAGUCGAGCGAGAGGAGGACGGGUGAGGCAUUUCUGGGAAACUGCAUGAAGGAGGGGGAUAACUACUGGAAACGGUAUCUAAUACUGCAUACCAUCAGAUGUGCCCUGAUUGGAUUAGCUCGUAGGGGGGGCAAUGGCUCACCUAGGCGACAAUCCCUAGCUGGUCUGAGAGGAUGACCAGCCACACUGGAACUGAGACACGGUCCAGACUCCUACGGGAGGCAGCAGGGGGGAAUAUUGCACAAUGGGCGCAAGCCUGAUGCAGCCAUGCCGUGUGUGUGAAGAAGGCCUUCGGGUUGUAAAGCACUUUCAGCGAGGAGGCGGUACUCGCAGAAGAAGCACCGGCUAACUCCGUGCCAGCAGCCGCGGUAAUUC